GAAAACCUGAGUUCUAUCCCCAGGACACCCCGUGAUGGAAUGAGAGAACGAAUUCCAAGUGUCUGACUUCCACACCUGUGCCAAGGCACACAUAUCCUCUUGUUUGCUUUUGCGCUCUCUCUCUCUCUCUCUCUCUCUCUCUCUCUCUCUCUCUCUCUCUCUCUCUCUCUCUGUGUGUGUGUCUCCUGACCCUCCUGUCCACAUUCCAGAUGCAGGAGGCUGUGCCUUCGCGCAGAUGUGCCAUUGCGCAUGUGCAGUGUGCAGCUGGCUCUGCCUGUGCAUGGAUCGGAGAGGAUGGCGUCUGCACGGCCAUCAUAUUUUAUCUGUGGCUGAGGAGGAAGAGGCACAUCUUCCCUUACACACUUCUGCUCACACGCAUGUGCACACCAGACAUCCUCCUCGGUAGCACGGAUGGAGCAGCGUGCAUCUAUUCCGUGGGUUGGGUGGGUGUGAUUCAGAGGAACGCCCACUGUGACCGCCAUCUAAAUGGGGACUCUGCUAGUCAGCCACCAGACUGCAAGUGCCGGCCAUGGUAUUCCAGGCCACUGAUGGGCACUUAAGGGUGCUGUGUCCAUACUAGGGAGCUAGAGAGGCUGGACUUGAGGGGUACAGUCUCUGCCCCUUCAGGACACAUAAUCAAAGAAAAGAAAGCACCCUGAAAAAUCUCUGGGGAAGUCUGUAGAGUGAGGGUAAAGGCAGCAAGGGUUGGAGCUUGGGGAAAGAGACUGAGGCAGAGGGGCUGAUUAGGAGGAAGAGAGGUGGUGACUGGAGAGAUGGAUCAGUGGAUAGAGCACCUGUUGCUCCUGCAGAGGACCUGGGUUCAAUUCCCAACACCUACAUGGUAACUUACAACCAUUAGUAACUCUAGUUCCAGGGGGUCCAAUGCCCUCUUCCGACCCCCACAGGCACCAGGCAUACGCAUGGUGCACAGACACACGCAGGCAAAAGACUCAUACACAUUAAUAAAUGAAAAUAAAUAAAUAAGCAAAAUUUUAAAAAGGUAACAGGAGAGGUGUCCUUGCAGGCCCUUUUGGUAAGAGUGGUGGGCUCCUGCCCAAGUUUAGUUUAUGCAGGGGAAAAGCUAGGUGUGGUGGCCCCAGAACUCAGGAGGCCGAGGAAGGGGGAUUGCUUAGUUCAAAUCCAGCCUGGGCUGCAUCGUUAAGACCUUGUCUUUAAAUCAAAUCAAAACCAAGGGCUAAAAUCAAAGAGAACUUUGGUUAGACCUCUAAGCUCAGAGAAAAUCUGAAACAGAAAAGAGUCAAGGCCCAGGGAGGGAGGACGAAGCCUGGGGUGAUGAGAAGCAACUGGUCACCUCCGAGCCUAUCAGGCACCAGGCUGAAGACUCGGCCUCACACAGGCUCUGUCUUAGGGGUCUGGAACCCAGGGGAUGACAGCUGGGUAAGCAUUACCCAGUGCACGAAGGUAAGGAUCAGACGCAGACAGUGGGAAAGAAUGUUCCGGGAGGUAGCGUCUGGGUGGGGUUUUGAAGGAUGUAGAGGAGUUGCGGACCCUGACCAGGGAGUGGGGAACUGGUUUCCAUACAACACGGGCAGGUUGUGUCGGCUCCUUGGCUCCUGUUUUUUUGGUUUUUUGUUUGUUUGUUUGUUUUUGUUUUCAUUUUUGCCAAGAUCAAAAUCAACACUCAAUCUGUGUUCCGAGACUGGGCAGCAUGGGAUCAUCAGUAGGCCUCCUUUUGCCUCCCCUGUGCUGAGUUGGGAGCUUGAAUUCCGUUUCCCAGAUCCCUCCUGGCUCCAGAGCCUCAAUCUAACCCUCUUUAUGUUCUAUCAGCAAAUGACCCAGGGCCCCUCAGCCCUCAGCAAGUGCCACCUCCUCCUGUGUGGCUUAGACCAAGGCAUGAAGUUCAACGCAAACUCACAACAGUGGCCUCCUGCCUUGGGCUGGCCUGCAAAUCCCUGGGGAAAGUUUGGGUCCUUAACACACAAGGAUGUCCUGGGUCCAGGACUCAGUGAGCUUGACAGGAAUAAGACAGCCUCUAGGGAGCCAGGCAAAGGCCCUGAGGCAACCAGGUGGUAGAGAGCAGAGAGGUAGAUGUGGAUUUUUACAGUGUUAAAAACUCCCUUCAUGUGAUUGGGGAUUUAGCUCAGUGGUAGAGCGCUUGCCUAGCAAGCGCAAGGCCCUGCGUUCAGUCCUCAGCUCUCGAAAAAAAACAAAAAAACAACAAAAAAAAUCCAAAAAACUCCCUUCAGCCUGUGUCAAACUUCCGAGAAGGUUUAGAAGGGCCGGGUGAGAGAGCGGAUGUGAGCUUCCUGCCUCUCCAGAGUUGUAGGGUGUAGUUUCUAAGUCAGUGUGGUACCCAGCCCUCCUUCUGCCCUGCUUUUGGCUCACUCCAGGGGGGCACACAGAUGGCAGCUAGGGUGGGCUCUCUCUGGUCUGUCUGAGACCCUGACCUACUUUCUAGCUUGAACUUGGUAACAGUGUGCUGGGAGUCAGGUGUUCUUCAUCCCACGGUCAGGGUUGGGUGACACCACUGGAGGAGAGAAGGUAAUACCACAUAGGGGAAGGGCUAGGGGCAGGGUGGGCUGAGCUGCCCAGGGAUAAGGGGAAGGCCUCCCCGCACUCUUAGCUCAUUUGUGGGACAAAUCAGUCACCAGUCACCAGUCAAGGGGUGGGGCCCGCAGGCAUGUGAAGUGAGAUCCUUGAAGGCAGUCAGAGGUAGGGAGAGUCAUAAGAGACUCCCCAGGAAAGGACACCAGGCCACCCAGGCCUGAACCUACCAGUGAUGAUGUAUCUGUGGGCCUUAGGUCAUCUGGCAUUGCCCCUCCCUCACAUCCUGGGAAAAGCCCUGGUCUAAAGGGCAUGGCCUCCAGUCAGCAUGAUCUUUCUCAGGCUCAUUAUCAGGGACAAUACUUGGAUUUUUUUUUUUUUAGUAUAGUACUUUAUUGUCAGGUAGAUUUUAUUUUUGUUUAAAAUUUUAAAGCAUUUUUUAUUAUUUAUUUAUAUAUUUGGAGGGGCAUCCAGAGAGACCAGAGAGAGUACGUGACCCUCUGGAACUGUAGUCGCAGGCAGUUGUGCACUGCCCCACGUGGGUGCUGAAAACUGAACUCAGGGCCUCUGGAAGGGCAGAAAGCUGAGCCUUCUCUCCUGACCUUUUGUUCCCCAUCUCUUACCCAAGACGGGGUUUCUCCAUGUAGCCUUGGCUGUCUCAGAACUCAUUCUGUAGACCAGACUGACCUCGAACUCAGAGAUCCACCUGCCUCUGCCUUCUGAGCAUUGGAUUAAAGGCGUGCGCCACCACUGCCUGGCCCUUUGAUUUUUAAGCAGUAUCUGGUAGAAGAGUCCACUAGUAGAAGAAUCCCUGUGUGCCACAACACAAAGUCUGCAAAGGGUGACGUUUGACCUCAUUUGACCGAUUGCCUUAUCACCCCACACACAGUUUUCUGUGUGCAUGCUCACACACUACACGUCAUAUACUCUUUCUUAACUGCUUGUUGAAGGGCGGGGGCCGAAAUAAGUCUUUAUCUCCGAGGACUUAGCGUGUUCCUUUAAGAGAGGAUGUUCUUUUACCUAAUUACAACGGGAUUAUCAAACAUCAGGAAACCAGCAUUGUGUCUUUAUAAUCUCCAUGUCUCGGUUUUAUUAACCAUCGUUUAUUUUAUUAGUGUCCUUUACAACACAGCUGCUUGGACGGACCUUGUAGGACGGCUGCAAGGGUUAAGUAAGAUGUCCUUGACAGCAGAGCCUGUCCGGAACAGAGUUGACACUAUUGCUCCUUGCUGCCCUUCCUGUCACCCUUAUCCUUCCCCAAGGUCCCUACCAUGCCUGUGGGCACUCCUAAGGUCCAGAGAGGACUGUGGCUAUGUCCAUGUCCCCUAUAGGACAUCACACUCCUGAGAGUGAGGAGUGAGUUUCAUCCCCUUCUGGGUUCCCCCAGCUCAGCAUGAUGACUUUGAUAAGUUCCCAGCUUUAAGCUCUGUUAAGUCAAGCUCCUGGUCCCAGGCCCUCCAUAGGUAUCCCGGCUGGUGGCUGCUCCUUCCUUGUGUGGGAUGUGGAUAGCUUCUAGAGUUGAUUCUAGCCCCAAAAUAUCCAUGUUCCAAGCCUGUGUCACCAUCCUGCCCCCAAACAAGCCCCCGCCACUUCCUUGUGCAUCAAUGGCCCCACUGUUCUGGAAUGAUCCAGGCAUGAAGUUUCAGAGUCACUCUUGACUCAGCCAACUCCUCCAGUCACACAUUUUUCCCCGAAGCCAUUGUUCAUAUCCACCAACCCCUUCCCAGGGCCCUGGAUCCCUUGUGCUUGGACUCUGGUCUGAAGUCUGGAUGCUUCUGUCUACUUUCUAAAUGGCCAGCCCUAGCAGAGCUCCAGGGGGUCUGUGCUGGGCCCUCCAAGAAACAGCAGUUCCCUGGUAGGAAGUGAUUUAAUACCCAGGAGCACAGCCCCCCCCCCCCCCACCUCUUAUCAAAGAGCCCUGCUGUACCUUGGAGGCUGGGGCUCCGGAGAGGUUGGGGACGCUGCCUACUGUGAUAAAACCUGGAUGGGGGAGAGGAAGGGAAAGGGGGGAGGAGAGGAGGUGGGGAGGGAAGGGGGAGGAGGAAGCCCUAAGGACUGUGUGUAGGACAGCACAUUGAGCUUUGACCUUUCAAGAAUGUCCUUGUCUCCCAAGCUUGAUCCUGCCCACCAUCAUCCAUUGCCACUGCUCUUGCCCUCUGUUCAACUCCCUUGGGCCCUGCCCUUGGUCAGACACAGGGCAAGGACCCAGUUAGGUGAUGUCCCACUGACUCUAUCCACACUGCACACACACACAAGGGACAGCAGGUGCCACUCUGGAAUCUGGACCUUGGUAGAGGACAGCGGAACUGGGCCUAGAAGGAUGAGCAAGAUUCCAUCUUGAGCCAGAGUUGGGCAGCAGAAGGGCAGUGGGUUAGCAGGGCCUUGGAAAUGUUUCUGGGUGGUUAAGCUAGGAGGCGUGAGGUGGCCAAACUGGGGCACAGUGAAGCAAGGCUGAGAAGGGCUUGUGGACUAAGGGGCUUCUGAUUAGAAACAUGGGGUCUUAGGGACCCUUCCUGCAGCCCAUAACUCCUGUCUCCUUUUUUUUUUUUUUUUUUUUUUUUUGGUUCUUUUUUUCCGGAGCUGGGGACCGAACCCAGGGCCCUGCGCUUCCUAGGUAAGCGCUCUACCACUGAGCUAAAUCCCCAGCCCCAACUCCUGUCUUCUAAAUGGGACCUGUGAAAGCAGCAGGGGGCCAGCUCAGCACUUGCUACUCUGUACAGAGCCACAGAAAAGGACACAGGCAGGGUGGCUGUCUGUCUCUGGAAGAAGCCAGGUAGGGCAUUUCUCUGAGACUAGAGGGUCGGCGGUAAGUAAGGAACAGGUUCAAGCCCAGUGCCUCAAGUUCCUUUGGGGAGGACGGACUGGGUGAUAGGACUAGCUGUCGGGUAUCCUGGGAAAGAGCCACAGUGCCCACGGGGCCUCGCCAAAGCAAACCAAGCUGUGCUGGCUCUGCCUUCCUGUGCUGGGGGGUGAAGAGGGGAGGGUGUCUGGCCCUGGGGAACGGGAGGAACCGAGUGGCGGAUUUAUGUUUCCACUUGAUUUCCUCGGUUGUUUUCCAAACGUAGCGGUAUCCUGAGGGGCGGGGUGGAGGCGGAGAAGCUACCGGAAGGCGCCGUAGCCCCACUGCUGCCUGCCCACCAUGUGACUUGGCUGACGACAGCACUGCGUGGAAGGGCCUAGAGGCUUCCGUCCUGGGCUGCUGGACAAGUGGGUGACGUUGAUCAAGGCACUGGGCUCACACGGGCCGCGCCCCGCGUGAUCUGUUGUCUCCAGGCAGGCUGCCCCACUUGGGUCGAUUCUUUGAUCCCGUGAGUUAAGAAUGACCAUGAUCGUGGCUGACUCCGGGUCUCAGGGUCAUCCUGGGGGCCAGGUACCUAAAUAGGCCUGGGGUGUACAUAGCUGCCUCUGUCUCUCUAGCUUCCUCUUCCCUCUCCAGCGGCUCCCUAAGCUCUUUCCUACCUCCUGAUUGUGGUGGGCCCACCAUUGUGAGUCUUGCUCCAUUCCAGCUGGGGUCUUUCUUGCCUUUUUGAGCUCUAUGCUCUGUCACUGCCUCAGCGGUGGCUUUGCCGUCUCCGACUUCCCGUUUUUCCUCAGGAUCUGCUCUGUUGAGGGGUAGUGGAUCAAUCCCAUUCUCCCCUGAGUGACAGAAACACACACACACACACACACACACACACACACACACACACACACACACACACACACACACACAGGGUUGGUUGGUAGGAGACAAGGCCUGGGGCAGGUAGUGGAGGCAGGGAACCGUUCAAAGAGGCUGGCCUCUCUCCCAGUCCUAUUUACAAUCUCCAUCCUUAUAGCAGCUGUGCAGCCUGGGACGUUGCUCUGAGCCUCAGUUUCUCCUUCUGAAAAAUGAAAAGAAUAAUAGUUCCUUCCCUUUGGGAUGGAAGCCUGCUUCCUGGACACCUGGAAGAGCUCUUGUCAGUGAAUCAGGGUAAAUCACAGAAAUCUCACUUCCCAGGGAAGCAGAGGCCGCAGGGCACUGGAGCUUUAACAAAAAACAAAAAACAAAAACAAAAAAAACACUGAUUUAUUUAUUUAUUUAUUUAUUUAUUUAUUGAGACACAGUCUCACUGACGUUUCUAAUUAAUUAAUUAAUUUUUUCCCUUGCAGUGCUUCCUAUAUGCCAGGUCAGGGCGUAACACAGGAGCCAGUCUCACCCCAGAAGGAUAUUAUUUUACUGAACAAUCUCUAAGGAAGGCGCCAUAUGGCCUCUAGUCCACCAAUGAGAGAAUAAAGACUUGCAAGGCCAGGGCUUACUCAAAGUUGUGUUUCCAUUAGGAUGUAGACAAGAGUCUUUUUACUGCCCGGUCCUCCCUCCUUGCCCCUGUGAGUCCUCACCCCCUCCCUAAUCUCUGCCCCUCUCCCCGCCCCCAGCCUUCCUGUCUGCUGCUUCUCCGUCUCUGACUCUCAAUGUGUCCUGCUCGGCCUGUGGCAGGAAUCUGUCCACCUGCUGGAUUGCUUUCUGAAUUGUGCACAUGAGCCCUUCCACUCUUUCUAUCCACAGCCUUCCUUGUCCUGGGCUCUUGUCUUGACACCACCCUAAGGCCUUGGAGAGGCCUUUCGUGUCUGUCUGCAGACAGACAAGGAUUCCAAGACUGGGGCCUGCCCCAGGGCCCCAAGGGUCCCCAGUACCUCCCCACCACCUAUGGCUUCAGGUCCUCUGACUCUUGGUGAGGGCCUUGCAUUUUGCUGCUAAUGCCUGGUUCUGCCACAGCAGUGCUAGCCCAGUAGAUCACUGAGUAAUGCUAUCUUUCCAACUGAGUGACCUCCCUCUGCCCUCUGAGAAAUGAAUUCACAUUCUCUCUCUCCCUUCCUCUCUCUCCCUCUCUUUCUCUGAGACAGAGUCUCAUUACUAUGAAGUCCUGGCUGUCCUGGAACUUACUACGCAGACCAGGCUGGUCUUGAACUCAGAUCCACCUGCUUCUGACUCCCCAGGGUUGGUAUUAAAGGUGUGUGCCACCACUGUCUAAGAUGAAUUUUCUUUUUAAAUGUGCCCACAAAUCCACUGAAUAUGAAGCCUCAGGAGGUCAGCAGCGCCAGCCUGAGAUAGAUUGGAGGCCCAGCAUUCAAACUCUGCUUUUGUGGGUCAUUUGUGCCACAGCAGAAUGGGACUUAGGGGGCGGGUAUCCUUAGAAACAGUCCAAAGGAGGGGCUUCAUGCGAUGUAGCCAAGGCAUCGUAGGUGAGACUUGCCUUCUAUUAGAGGUGUGUUCAAGGGUCCUGUUGACCACCACCAGUGAGCUCACCUUGCACACCUCUCUAGUAAGAACGAUUCCCACUCUUGGCACAUAAUAGAUAUUGCAGAAGCAUUAAGUGCAAGAAUUGGACGAUAGUCAGAGGGACAGCCACUAAGGAGGGGCCUUGCAGGGCAUCUCCAAAGGUAUAGCUUCUACGCUCGAGACCUCCUGUGAAGCCUUACCCAGUGACAGCCAGAGUCCUUGUUUCAAUGCAGCUCAGAACACACCAGCCCUUGCUCCAAACUUUGGUAGACCCUGACAUCUUCCCUUCCUUUGACUCCACAGCUGGGCUCCAGACCCUAAGUAUUUGACUUCCACUCCCUCAUCUCCCUGGCUCUCUCUGCUCCAGCCCCACUGGCGUUCUGCCUGUUCCUAAGCUCGGCAACACAUUCCCUCUUGAGGCCUUGGCAUGUGUUGAUCUCUGUCUGGAACAUUCUUCUAUGAAAUGUUCCUCUUUCUUUCCCUCAGAAUCUUAGUUCGGUGUCACACUGUUGUUGCGGGGGUGUCUCCUCACUCUUCGCCUUCUCCACUACCUUCUUCUUGACAGGGUCGGGCACUUACUCUGUAGUCCAGGCUGGCCUCAAACUUGAGAUCCUCCUACCUCAGCCUUGGAGUACUGAGAUCAUAGGCACAUGCUAUCACAUCUACGGAGAUCCUGUUUCUCCCACUAUCCUGCUUCACACACCACAGAGCUUAAGACACCGUGAUCUUAGCCCAUAGGUCCGUCUAUUGUCCCUGUCCCUCAUGUGAACAUUAGAUUUGUGAAGGCAAAGGCAGUGCCCUUGUCCACUGUAGCCCCUGGGCUGGAACAGUGUAGAGGACACAGCCAGUACUCCAUCAGUGUUUGAGGGAGGGAGGAGACUGAAGGAAAGAGUGGGAAUGGGGCAAGAAGGCAUAGAUAAGGGAGGAGGGGAGAGGAGAGAAAAGGACUUUUUAGUGUCCCUUGCUCUGUUAUCAGAUGUGGCUUCUAGAUGUCUGAGCACCAAGACUACUGCACAGAAGGUGGGUAGAAAGAGCUGCACUGUGGGUAAAGGAAUUCAGUUAGAUUUGAAGAACUUUCUAAAACAGUGCAAAGAUGGGAGGAACUUUGUCAGGGAGAAAUACGUUUCCUGUCAGCAAGAUGUCCGGAAGCCCAACAGCCUUGGAGCUCUGGGUGGGACCAGCUAUGGGGCCUGAACCCAGGAGAUGUAAGGAAUUGGGGGGUUCCCCAGAAGUUGGGGCAGGUGAGGCCCUGGAACUUGAAGGCCCUUAUGGCUCAUCCGGCCAGGCCUAGGCAGGUAGAAGCCCGUCUGUGGCUCAUCCCCAGGCCAGAACUGCUGGGAUUUGGCCAAGCGGCCAUGUUGAGAGUCUGGUCCUGACUCUACAAAGCUGGGCUGGGGCAACACAGGAAGUCCCACUGCUCUCUAGCUCCAUAGGCCCCUCCAGCUCUAGCCUCUCCUCACCUCCCACAGUGGCCUCAGGCCCCUGUGCCCGCGCCCAUGGGGUUAAAUCUCUCCCUGUCUCUCUCUGCUCCAAGUUGUUUUCCAAGCGAGGCAGAGAAUGGUUCUCUUGUUACCAACAUGGCUUCUGGGCAUUGGGUAAUGCGCUCCCUCUUCUCCCUGCCCCUGUCACAAAGGGACCUUUUGUUCCUCUCCCGGCCCCUCUCUCCGGCUCUUCUCUGCCCCCCACCCACCCCAAGUCCCUCCUCCCCACGCCUCCUGCCCUACUCUGUGUGCACCCCUGGGCUGUGAGGAGUGACCGUGGCCUGGCCGUGGUGCCCUCCCUCUCCCAAGGCGCCUUGGGAGGAGAAAGGGCCUUGGCGGACGCGGCGGCCAUUUUGAAAACUGUCCUUCUAGGCUGUCCGCGGCUCCUCUGAGGUUGCCAGGAUUGAGGAAGCCACUCCGGGAGAGCCUUGGGGUUGAUGUCCUGUGGCCUACUUUCUGUCUCCAGGCUGAAAUGGGACCUUCCUCUCCCAAGCUCCCAGCCCAGGCUGUGUCUCUACACUGAGACAAGACACCUUUCAGCUAGCCAUCUUAAAUCUACACGGCAGCUUCCUGAGGUGCUAGCUGCAUUCCUGGCCUGGAAGCGAUGAGCCCGUCCUACCCCUGUGUCACUCUGGAUGGUUUUGCAGAGGUGCCUCACCUGAUCCUGGGUAGAUGACAUCACCCUACAGUUAGCAAUCAAAACAACAAACCCAUGAAGGGCAGCUACAGCACGGGUGAAGUUUGAAAAUAUGCUCAAUGAGAGAAGGCAGCUACAAAAGGACACACAUUAUUCCAGUUCUGUGAAAUUCCACAGCAGGGUCUUACAGUGUAUCCCUGGCUGCCUUGGAGCUCACAAAGUACUUCUGCCUCAGCCUCCUGAGAACGGGGAUUACAAGGGUGUGUCAGCCUUGCUGGCUCUAAAAAAUAUGAUUUAAAAAAUCUUCCACUUAUAAUAACACAAUUAAAUAUAAUAAAAGAUUUACAAUGUUCAUUUUAAAA